GUGUCAGCAGCCGCGGUAAUACGAAGGGGGCUAGCGUUGUUCGGAAUUACUGGGCGUAAAGCGCGCGCAGGCGGUCUUUUAAGUCAGGGGUGAAAGCCCAGAGCUCAACUCUGGAAUUGCCUUUGAAACUAGAAGACUUGGGUACGGGAGAGGUGAGUGGAAUUCCGAGUGUAGAGGUGAAAUUCGUAGAUAUUCGGAAGAACACCAGUGGCGAAGGCGGCUCACUGGCCCGUUACCGACGCUCAGGCGCGACAGCGUGGGGAUCAAACAGGAUUAGAAACCCCUGUAGUCC
rnacentral:rRNA from 1 species